CCCAUCCAGUUCUACACAACCGUGUUCCCUCUAAUUUUUCCCACGCAUGUGUGGAAUGAAUUUUGUUCUGUGCCCCAAUAUGGAGGUGAUUGUG